rnacentral:lncRNA from 1 species
UGGAUUGAAUCGUUCGAGGCGGUUCUCCUUUUUCAGUGCGUUGGUGGUCAUAGCAUAUGCCCGCAACAUAUACCUUCAAAUGGCCAAUCUGAGGCUUCUGUCUUUAUACUUAUCCCAUUCAUCAAGGCAACUUGGGUGUGAAAGACGUCGAAUGGUGUCUUCCAUUUGAUCCAUACCGGGGGGAUAGGUUAUAAAGAUAUACGGUGCACGGCAUAUCUCUGGCCAUAGAUCCCUAGGGAACCGUGCACUCGCUCUCAUCGCUCUGCCUUUAUCUUUAAUGAUCCGUCCAACCCUUUCUGCUCCUCCAUUCUGCGCUUGAGGUAUGUGCAGAUGGCAGCAACUUGACGUGUUUUAGUGAGCCAGUAGCUACUCCAGGGAUAACCAUUGUGAUCUCUUGUCCAUUUCCAUCCUCUUCGGUGUGAGAUUAUAUUGUUUCUUGAGAUAAGCGAAAAGCCAUUUCAACAUGUCAAGGACCUCAAGAGUGGUAUGGCUAGUGAGAUAAAAAUCCCAGUUCAGCAGGUUUCCUAUAUUCCCUUCUACCAUACGCUGAAUCUUCGCCCGUGCAAUGCCUACAUUAACUGUUGUAGGCCCCUUAGAAAACCGGUCACUCGUACACCUUUAGUGGCAUUAGCAAGGUGUUGAAUAACCUGAGGACCAGGGUGGCCGAGGCGUGCAUGCCAUCGCUUUGCACUCGCUUUUCUCUCUUUCCUAGCGGUCAGGAAGUGUGCUGGUGACGUGUAUAAUAAAACCAGUUUUUAUCAUAGGAUGGUCAUGAUUAAUAUAUUCAAGAAUGAACUGGCCUUCCAUAUCUCGAAUAUAUGCACUAUUUGAUGAUCAUCCUCGUGUCGGAGGCAGUCGUAUCCUUGCCGGCCGUCCCACCAGAUUCCUUGCUUUCUUAGCUGGCGGAGUGACACCAGAUUGGCAACGAAGUCCUUGCAGUAUGCUACCUCAUAAAGGCGGAGAAAACGCAGCUGGUUGUUAGCGCCAUGGACCUCGAUAUCGACUUCUCCAUACCCGAGUAUUGGAACUUUGUGAGUUCCUGCCA